rnacentral:rRNA from 1 species
GCAAGUCGAACGGGUAACAGGAAGCAGCUUGCUGCUUCGCUGACGAGUGGCGGACGGGUGAGUAAUGUCUGGGAAGCUGCCUGAUGGAGGGGGAUAACUACUGGAAACGGUAGCUAAUACCGCAUAAUGUCGCAAGACCAAAGAGGGGGACCUUCGGGCCUCUUGCCAUCGGAUGUGCCCAGAUGGGAUUAGCUUGUUGGUGGGGUAACGGCUCACCAAGGCGACGAUCCCUAGCUGGUCUGAGAGGAUGACCAGCCACACUGGAACUGAGACACGGUCCAGACUCCUACGGGAGGCAGCAGUGGGGAAUAUUGCACAAUGGGCGCAAGCCUGAUGCAGCCAUGCCGCGUGUAUGAAGAAGGCCUUCGGGUUGUAAAGUACUUUCAGCGGGGAGGAAGGGAGUAAAGUUAAUACCUUUGCUCAUUGACGUUACCCGCAGAAGAAGCACCGGCUAACUCCGUGCCAGCAGCCGCGGUAAUACGGAGGGUGCAAGCGUUAAUCGGAAUUACUGGGCGUAAAGCGCACGCAGGCGGUUUGUUAAGUCAGAUGUGAAAUCCCCGGGCUCAACCUGGGAACUGCAUCUGAUACUGGCAAGCUUGAGUCUCGUAGAGGGGGGUAGAAUUCCAGGUGUAGCGGUGAAAUGCGUAGAGAUCUGGAGGAAU